AGCCCCGUAGACGAAAUGCUGACAACACCUAGGAGGAUCCUGAGUACGGCGGAACACGAGAAAUUCCGUCGGAAUCCGCGGGGACCAUCCCGCAAGGCUAAAUACUCCCUAGUGACCGAUAGUGAACCAGUACCGUGAGGGAAAGGUGAAAAGCACCCCGGGAGGGGAGUGAAAUAGAACCUGAAACCGUGUGCCUACAACAAGUUCGAGCCCGUUAAUGGGUGAGAGCGUGCCUUUUGUAGAAUGAACCGGCGAGUUACGAUUGCAUGCGAGGUUAAGUCGAAGAGACGGAGCCGUAGCGAAAGCGAGUCUGAAUAGGGCGAAUGAGUAUGUAGUCGUAGACCCGAAACCAUGUGAUCUACCCAUGUCCAGGUUGAAGGUGCGGUAAAACGCACUGGAGGACCGAACCCACGUACGUUGAAAAGUGCGGGGAUGAGGUGUGGGUAGCGGAGAAAUUCCAAACGAACUUGGAGAUAGCUGGUUCUCUCCGAAAUAGCUUUAGGGCUAGCCUCGGAAUUGAGAAUGAUGGAGGUAGAGCACUGUUUGGACUAGGGGCCCAUCUCGGGUUACCGAAUUCAGAUAAACUCCGAAUGCCAUUCAUUUAUAUCCGGGAGUCAGACUGCGAGUGAUAAGAUCCGUAGUCGAAAGGGAAACAGCCCAGACCACCAGCUAAGGUCCCAAAAUAUAUGUUAAGUGGAAAAGGAUGUGGGGUUGCACAGACAACUAGGAUGUUGGCUUAGAAGCAGCCACUCAUUAAAAGAGUGCGUAAUAGCUCACUAGUCGAGAGAUCCUGCGCCGAAGAUGUCCGGGGCUCAAACUUACCACCGAAGCUACGGGUUCACACUUAUGUGUGAGCGGUAGAGGAGCGUCGUAAUCGGGCUGAAGUCGUACCGUAAGGAGCGGUGGACUGAUUACGAGUGAGAAUGUUGGCAUUAGUAGCGAGAUGUGGGUGAGAAUCCCACAGGCCGAAUAUCUAAGGUUUCCUCAGGAAGGUUCGUCCGCUGAGGGUUAGUCGGGACCUAAGCCGAGGCCGAAAGGCGUAGGCGAUGGACAAUCGGUUGAUAUUCCGAUACCACUACUGAUCGUUAUUAUCGAUGGUGUGACGGAGAAGGAUAGAGUGUGCUAGCUAUUGGAUGCUAGUCUAAGCGUUUAGGGAGUUAGGAAAGGCAAAUCCAUCCUAACAAUUCUGAGGCGUGAUGGGGAAGGUUCUACGGAACCGAAGUACUUGAUUCCAUGCUUCCAAGAAAAGCAUCUAGAGAGAGAUGUAGUGCCCGUACCGCAAACCGACACAGGUAGAUGAGGAGAGAAUCCUAAGGCCGGCGGAAGAAUCACAGUUAAGGAACUAGGCAAAUUGACCCCGUAACUUAGGGAGAAGGGGUGCCUGUGAGAGCAGGCCGCAGAGAAUAGGCCCAAGCAACUGUUUAGCAAAAACACAGGUCUCUGCUAAAGCGAAAGCUGAUGUAUAGGGGCUGACGCCUGCCCGGUGCUGGAAGGUUAAGGGGAACACUUAGCGCAAGCGAAGGUGUGAACUUAAGCCCCAGUAAACGGCGGCCGUAACUAUAACGGUCCUAAGGUAGCGAAAUUCCUUGUCAGGUAAGUUCUGACCCGCACGAAUGGCGUAAUGACUUGGGCACUGUCUCAACUGUGAAUCCGGCGAAGUUGUAGUGCGAGUGAAGAUGCUCGCUACCCGCGAUUGGACGGAAAGACCCCGUAGAGCUUUACUGUAGCUUAGCAUUGAAUUUCGGUAUUGUCUGUACAGGAUAGGUGGGAGACUGGGAAAUCAGGGCGUCAGCCUUGAUGGAGUCGUCCUUGGGAUACCACCCUGACAGUACUGAGGUUCUAACUGGAUGCCAUGAAUCUGGUGACAGGACAUUGUUAGGUGGGCAGUUUGACUGGGGCGGUCGCCUCCUAAAAAGUAACGGAGGCGCCCAAAGGUUCCCUCAGAACGGUCGGAAAUCGUUCGAAGAGUGCAAAGGCAGAAGGGAGCCUGACUGCGACACCCACAAGUGGAGCAGGGACGAAAGUCGGGCUUAGUGAUCCGGUGGUACCUCGUGGGAGGGCCAUCGCUCAACGGAUAAAAGCUACCUCGGGGAUAACAGGCUGAUCUCCCCCAAGAGUCCACAUCGACGGGGAGGUUUGGCACCUCGAUGUCGGCUCGUCGCAUCCUGGGGCUG
rnacentral:rRNA from 1 species